rnacentral:lncRNA from 1 species
AAAGACAGGCUGCGGUGCAGAGGUGCGCCCAGUCCCACGUAGAGGUUCAGCGGCGCCAGGUCUUGAAGUUUCUACUGGAGCUCGGCGCUGGGUGCUCACUUUCCCUCGGUUAGGCGUGCAGUUCAGUUGCUCUGUGGACGCUACAUGUUCAGGACCCGGGAUUCCGGUCCCGAGUCUGGGGUCCGGGGCUUCCUGUCCGAGGUCGGCCAUUUUCAUUAAUAAUUACCUUUUAAAGGAACAAGAGGAAAGGCAUUUGGUAUAUAUUUAAUAUUUGCCAGUUCAGAUUGGAGACAUGGCAGCAAUCAGAAUGGAUGACACUGUGUUUUCAGAGAUAAUAUCACAGUUCAUUUUGCGACAAAUGCCAGAAGCUGACUAUUCCAGUUUAUUCAAUGAUUUUGUUGAAUCUGAAUUUUUUCUGAUUGAUGGAGAUUCAUUACUUAUCACAUGUGUAUGUGAGAAAUCAUUACAGCCAGGACAGAAUCUCCAUUUUGUCUACCUGGUGGAACGCUAUCUGAUGGAUCUUAAUAGUAAAGGAGGGCAAUUUUCCAUAGUUUUCUUCAAGGAUGCUGAGUACGCAUAUUUCAACUUCCCUGAACUUCUUUCUUUGAGGACCGCUUUAAUUCUUCAUCUUCAGAAAAAUACCACCGUCAAUGUUUGCACUAACAUUUCUGGAUGCUUAUCAAAUGAGUGGGAAAUUUUCUUGGAAGAGAAUUGCCCAUAUUUUCUGGUAGUCGCAGAUGAAGGCCUGAACCAUCUGCAAACAGAUCUUUUCAACCUUCUCAUCAUUCAGUCCUGGUCCAUGGAGGUCAACGUUGUGCUUUUCUCAGGCCAGUCAUCUGAUAUUCUCCGACUUUAUGGCUACCUUAUGCCAAGCAACUAUAGGAAUCAGAUGUUUUUUUGGAAGGUAAUUUAUAUAAAAAAAGCAAC